AGCAUAUCAAUAAGCGGAGGAAAAGAAACCAACAGGGAUUGCCUCAGUAACGGCGAGUGAAGCGGCAAUAGCUCAAAUUUGAAAUCUGGCCCUUUCAGGGUCCGAGUUGUAAUUUGCAGAGGGCGCUUUGGCGUCGGCAGUAGCCUAAGUUCCUUGGAACAGGUCAUCAUAGAGGGUGAGAAUCCCGUAUGUGGCUGCCUGCCUUCGCCGUGUAAAGCCCCUUCGAUGAGUCGAGUUGUUUGGGAAUGCAGCUCUAAAUGGGAGGUAAAUUUCUUCUAAAGCUAAAUAUUGGCCAGAGACCGAUAGCGCACAAGUAGAGUGAUCGAAAGAUGAAAAGCACUUUGGAAAGAGAGUCAAAAAGCACGUGAAAUUGUUGAAAGGGAAGCGCUUGCAGCCAGACGUGCCCGCAGUUGCUCAUCUGGGGUUUUCCCCAGUGCACUCUUCUGUGGGCAGGCCAGCAUCAGUUCAGGCGGUUGGAGAAAGACCUGUGUCAUGUAGCUCUCUUCGGGGAGUGUUAUAGGGCAGGUGGAAUGCAACCAGCUUGAACUGAGGUCCGCGCAUCUGCUAGGAUGCUGGCGUAAUGGCUGUAAGCGGCCCGUCUUGAAACACGGACCAAGGAGUCUAACAUCUAUGCGAGUGUUUGGGUGUCAAGCCCGAGCGCGUAAUGAAAGUGAACGGAGGUGGGAACCCCUCGGGGUGCACCAUCGACCGAUCCUGAUGUCUUCGGAUGGAUUUGAGUAAGAGCAUAGCUGUUGGGACCCGAAAGAUGGUGAACUAUGCCUGAAUAGGGUGAAGCCAGAGGAAACUCUGGUGGAGGCUCGCAGCGGUUCUGACGUGCAAAUCGAUCGUCAAAUUUGGGCAUAGGGGCGAAAGACUAAUCGAACUAUCUAGUAGCUGGUUCCUGCGA
rnacentral:rRNA from 1 species